GGGCGCUUGGUCUAGGGGUAUGAUUGUAAGCUAAACCUCCCCCCUCCCCGUCGUCCUUCUCUUCUAACCAAUUGCCAGUUCGCUUCGCAUAAUUCGAAUAUGUCUGUGAAAGGUCGUGGGUUCAAUUCCCACAGCGUCCA